rnacentral:rRNA from 1 species
UGCCAGCAGCCGCGGUAAUACGUAGGGGGUUAGCGUUGUUCGGAAUUACUGGGCGUAAAGCGCACGUAGGCGGAUUGGAAAGUUGGGGGUGAAAUCCCAGGGCUCAACCCUGGAACUGCCUUUCAUACUGGCGAUCUUGAGUUCGAGAGAGGUGAGUGGAAUUCCGAGUGUAGAGGUGAAAUUCGUAGAUAUUCGGAGGAACACCAGUGGCGAAGGCGGCUUUCUGGACCGAUACUGACGCUGAGACGCGAAAGCGUGGGGAGCAAACAGGAUUAGAUA